UACGCCCUUGCUGGAAAAAACUGUAAAAUGUUGAUGCAGGCCUCGAAAGUAUGCAGUUUGCCUUUGGCAUUGCCACUGUCACUGCGGGCAGCGCAGUCGGCGUCAUGAGCAGCCCACCACCCACUGCGCCGCGUGUGUGUGUGUGCGGGAGUGCACGAGAGCGGAUUGCACGUCGCACGAGUUUCCAUAGUGGUAUAGCUCCUGUUGUUUCCGAUGCUCCUGUUUUUGUUGCUCCCCUCUAUGGCGAAAAUGUCUCUUUGUAUGCACUUUGCUCGCCUGGGUGUGUGUGUGCUGUGAAUGCAAUAUUUUUAAGCGGCUUGCUUUCCGUGAAUGCAUAAAAAGGGCGAAGAAGAGUCAGCGGCAGCCUGUGCAAAUAGCGCCUUCUGUGCAGAGAAUAGAGAAGCAAGGCAAAUAAGUUCCAAGGCGACCCGUCCAACCGGCCCGCGAAUUGGCAGUCUAGUAGAGCCGCACUUAUAAAAAACAGCCAGACAAUAAAAUCAAGCAGGGAUACUUCAAUGGUAAUAUCGAUAAUAUCGAUUUCCUCAAUAAGGACUUUGUUACGUUUAACUUUAUAGUGGGAAGCGGAAUGUAAACGAUGCAACAUGGGAAUCAACUUGAUAAACGCAAUAGUCAUAGAA